rnacentral:ncRNA from 1 species
UUAAAUGUGCUGAUUAGAAUUAGUAGAAGCCAUGAGACCUUUCAGAGAGCCGUUGGUUGGUGCGAAACGGCAGGUUCGAUUGCUUUGAACUCGUCUAUGAACAGUUUUCCUGACAUGUAGGGGAAACCGGGUUUCCGCCGUUACAAGGAUAGAUGGUGAUGGCCAUCGAAGGAGUUCAUUUCACCCCAGUGGAAUGAAAUUAGAGUGGUACCGCGGGUUCAACCUCGUCUCUAUU